rnacentral:rRNA from 1 species
UUUAAAUGUAAAUAAAAAUACCAAAGUAGUAGUAGUUAUGUUCUUUAAAUUUAAAGAUUUUGGCGGUAUUUUAGACUAUUCAGAGGAACCUGUUCUGUAAUUGAUAAUCCACGAUUAAUUAUACUUGAAUUAUUAAUUUGUAUAUCGUCGUUUAUAAACAAUUUUAUAAGAAUAUAAAUUUUUUAAAUUUUUAAUUAAAAAAUAUAUCAGAUCAAGGUGCAGUUUAUGUUUAAGUAGAAAUGGGUUACAAUAAAUUUAUUUAAAUGGAUUAAUAUAUGAAAAAUUAUUAUGAAGGUGGAUUUGAUAGUAAUGAAAUUUAAUUUAAUUUUAUGAUUUUAGCUCUAAAAUAUGU